rnacentral:rRNA from 1 species
GAUGAACGCUAGCUACAGGCUUAACACAUGCAAGUCGAGGGGUAACGAGAGGAAAGCUUGCUUUCCCUGUCGACGACCGGCGCACGGGUGAGUAACGCGUAUCCAACCUGCCCCCAACUAGGGAAUAACCUUGCGAAAGUAAGACUAAUACCCUAUAAUUUCCUCAGAUGUCAUCUGACGAGGAAUAAAGAUUUAUCGGUUGUGGAUGGGGAUGCGUCUGAUUAGCUUGUUGGCGGGGUAACGGCCCACCAAGGCGACGAUCAGUAGGGGUUCUGAGAGGAAGGGCCCCCACAUUGGAACUGAGACACGGUCCAAACUCCUACGGGAGGCAGCAGUGAGGAAUAUUGGUCAAUGGGCGGAAGCCUGAACCAGCCAAGUAGCGUGCAGGAUGACGGCCCUAUGGGUUGUAAACUGCUUUUAUACAGGAAUAAAGUUAGCCACGUGUGGUUAUUUGUAGGUACUGUAUGAAUAAGGACCGGCUAAUUCCGUGCCAGCAGCCGCAGUAA